rnacentral:rRNA from 1 species
GACGUGAGGGCAAGCGUUGUCCGGAAUCAUUGGGCGUAAAGCGCGUGUAGGCGGUCCGGUAAGUCCGCUGUGAAAGUCGAGGGCUCAACCCUCGAAUGCCGGUGGAUACUGUCGGGCUUGAGUACGGAAGAGGCAAGUGGAAUUCCUGGUGUGGCGGUGGAAUGCGCAGAUAUCAGGAGGAACACCCAUAGCGAAGGCAGCUUGCUGGGACGUUACUGACGCUAAGGCGCGAAAGCGUGGGGAGCGAACAGGG